GAUGAACGCUGGCGGCGUGCCUAAUACAUGCAAGUCGAGCGAACGGACGAGAAGCUUGCUUCUCUGAUGUUAGCGGCGGACGGGUGAGUAACACGUGGAUAACCUACCUAUAAGACUGGGAUAACUUCGGGAAACCGGAGCUAAUACCGGAUAAUAUUUUGAACCGCAUGGUUCAAAAGUGAAAGACGGUCUUGCUGUCACUUAUAGAUGGAUCCGCGCUGCAUUAGCUAGUUGGUAAGGUAACGGCCUACCAAGGCAACGAUGCAUAGCCGACCUGAGAGGCGGAUCGCCCACACUGGAACUGAGACACGGUCCAGACGCCUACGGGAGGCAGCAGUAGGGAAUCGUCCGCAAUGGGCGAAAGCCUGACGGAGCAACGCCGCGUGAGUGAUGAAGGUCUUCGGAUCGUAAAACUCUGUUACUAGGUAAGAACAUAUGUGUAAGUAACUGUGCACAGCUUGACGGUACCUAAUCAGAAAGCCACGGCUAACUACGUG
rnacentral:rRNA from 1 species